GACAAAAUAAUCUGUGAUUGGAACUGUGUACUUCUCAGAUUAUUGCUAAAGUCCUAGCUAGUAACCUUUAUCGCCUUACCAAAAUGUCACCAAACUACCUGUUACCAUAUUCCAAAGAUUAGCCACUAAUUUAAAUAUGGAUAUCAUCCUAAGAGACUAAUGUUAUGAGCUACAUAUAUAACAAGUCAUUUACGGUAAGAAAUAAGUUAAGACAUGUAUCUCUUAUCUGCGCAAAAGAGAAACCUCCUGUGUUUUGAGCAUGUAUUAGAAACAACUUUUACUUAACCUUUGCAGUAAGCACUUGUCUGUGCAGCUAGAAAACCUUAUUUUAGUUCAAGUUUGGUUUAUCUCAUCAGUUGACAGAAUUUAGGUGCAGCAAAAUUUUUAAAAUUUAGAGAACCAAAUCUGAAUAACAUAAAACCUACUGGUGACCCAGUGGGAAAACAUAAAUUCUGAUAUGAUGAAAGUUUAUUAUAAAGCAUUUAUUUGUUUCCACAAGAUCAAAUACUAUUUUUCAAGAUAUUUUUAUAUGGUAAUAAGUGUUUAAGGUUUGUAUCUGCUGCAUAAUGAAAUGUGGAUAAGAACUUCAAAAACUGAAAUUCUAAAAGGUAGCUAGAUGUUUCAUCCAAUAUGUAUGCUGUGAAUUAUAUACGUUUUGUGUUAAACUUAACUGUUUAUGAAUUUCAUACAAUUACGAAUUACUGUGACAUUACAGGUAGAAAUUCCAUUCUUGGUGCCUGUCAUGAAAAAUAUAUUAGGUAUUUCUACUUUUCCUGAACAAGUGCCAUGCCAUGCCUAACCCGCUCCAGUAUCGAAUUUGUCAGCAUAUAAAGUUAACAAAAUCAGUGCAGUGUACCAUAACAAUGUUAAAAAGCCGAAAUGAAAGCACCUGCAUUUUCAGUCAAAUCUUAGGCAUACUAAAGUUGAGUAAUCCCAGGUUUGUAGUGGAUAUGAGAAGAAAUUUGGAAAGCUUCAUUUCUCUGCAGUUUGCAAGAAAUGGCGAUUAGUAUAAAGAAGUGUUAUGAAUAUCAGCUGAUGUUUCACAAGAACAGAAGUCAUGCAACAUGAAACAUUUGAAGAUUAAAUUUGAGCGAUCCCCUUGCAAAGGCAGCAUUUAAAAAAAAAAAAAAAAAAAAAAAAAAACUCUAUAGCUAAGUCACUCUUCUUUGCAAAUAAUUUAUUGCAUAUAACAUUUUCAUGUGAUUUUUCUUGAGAGUAAAUAAGCACAUGUAUUGCUCAAUGACUUUUGAAUUUAAAUGAACUGCUAUCUUUAGUACAUGUUCACGAUUUCUCACCAGUAUGGGUAAAAAUAUGUUUGUUCAUAACAUACAUUUAACUAUGAAUAACUGGUUACAAAUAUCACAUACGGGUCAUUUCUCAUUGUUAUGCUUAAGUGUUUGUGUCUUUAAUACACUUGUAUGUGCAGAUGAUUUACAAAUAUUGCAUUGAUAUAGUUUGUUCCUAGUAUGUGUAAACAUGUUUAUUUUAAUGAUGCCUUCAUGCAAAUAAUUCAUCACAUACAACCUGUUCAUGUGGUUUCCUUUAGUGAGAUUAAGGUGUAUGUUUUAAUAUGACUUUUGAGUAUAAAUAGCAUGAACACACGCUUGUUAUUUCUUAUCUGUGUGAAAAGCAAUAUGUGCCUUUAACAUAUUUGUUGUGAAAAUAACUUACUAUAUAUACUAGCCAUAUGAUUUCUUAUGUCUUUCUAGAAGUGCAUUCCAAUAAAACUGGCCUUUGUGUAUGCUAGUAGUAUUCAACUUUAUGGCAGUGUGACCUCAUAAAAGUGCAAGCAACCCCAAAAAACAAUUUUACUUCCCAAAUUAGAGCUCCAAACACAUUGGAAGAUUUUGUAGAAAAUUGUUCAUGAAAAGAUUUAUUUUAGAAAUUUUUCUUCAUAAAUUUGUUCCCAUUCAUCUCAAAUCCACAGCCAAAAUCAACAAAAAUUAAAUAACCUUAGUAAAGAUAAAUGUGUUGAAAUAUAAAAAACUGACUGUGUUUUUGAAACAUGAGGGCAUGCAGUUUAUACUCUUGCUAUCUGGAGAAGUCAUCCAGCUCUGUGCCAGGAUUUUGCAUUGACUGAUAAAUAUAAAUAUUUUAUUAAUCAACUUAUAAGUUGGAAUUUUUAUGACUGGGUAUUGUUGACUGUAAUCAAACAUCAGUUAUAAUCUCUGUUAUUCUUUGUUUUGUUAUAAUUUUAAAAUGUUUUCCAUUCUUUAGUGAUUCCAUUUUCCAUACUGAUUUCCAUACUGUUGCUGUAAAAGUAAAACAUAUUAUAAGAAAAGAAA